rnacentral:rRNA from 1 species
UAUUGCGCAAUGGGGGCAACCCUGACGCAGCCAUGCCGCGUGAAUGAAGAAGGCCUUCGGGUUGUAAGUUCUUUCGGUGAUGAGGAAGGAGGAUGUUUAAAUAGGGCAUUCAAUUGACGUUAAUCACAGAAGAAGCACCGGCUAACUCCGUGCCAGCAGCCGCGGUAAUACGGAGGGUGCGAGCGUUAAUCGGAAUAACUGGGCGUAAAGGGCACGCAGGCGGAUAAUUAAGUGAGAUGUGAAAUCCCCGAGCUUAACUUGGGAAUUGCAUUUCAUACUGGUUAUCUAGAGUCUUGUAGAGAGGGGUAGAAUUCCACGUGUAGCGGUGAAAUGCGUAGAGAUGUGGAGGAAUACCGGAGGCGAAGGCGGCCCCUGGACAAAGACUGACGCUCAUUGCGAAA